AUUGAACGCUGGCGGCAGGCCUAACACAUGCAAGUCGAACGAGUGGCGGACGGGUGAGUAAUGUCUGGGAAACUGCCUGCUGGCGGGGGAUAACUCCUGGAAACGGUAGCUAAUACCGCAUACCAUCGGAUGUGCCCAGAUGGGAUUAGCUAGUAGGUGGGGUAACGGCUCACCUAGGCGACGAUCCCUAGCUGGUCUGAGAGGAUGACCAGCCACACUGGCACUGAGAGACGGUCCAGUCUCCGAAGGUAGGCAGCAGUGGGGAAUAUUGCACAAUGGGCGCAAGCCUGAUGCAGCCAUGCCGCGUGGAUGAAGAAGGCCUUCGGGUUGUAAAGUACUGUCAGCGGGGAGGCGUUACCCGCAGAAGAAGCACCGGCUAACUCCGUGCCAGCAGCCGCGGUAAUAC
rnacentral:rRNA from 1 species